rnacentral:rRNA from 1 species
GAUGAACGCUGGCGGCGUGCCUAAUACAUGCAAGUCGAGCGAACAGAUAAGGAGCUUGCUCCUUUGACGUUAGCGGCGGACGGGUGAGUAACACGUGGGUAACCUAUCUAUAAGACUGGAAUAACUCCGGGAAACCGGUGCUAAUGCCGGAUAACAUGUUGAACCGCAUGGUUCUACAGUGAAAGGCGGCUUUGCUGUCACUUAUAGAUGGACCCGCGCCGGAUUAGCUAGUUGGUGGGGUAACGGCUCACCAAGGCAACGAUCCGUAGCCGACCUGAGAGGGUGAUCGGCCACACUGGAACUGAGACACGGUCCAGACUCCUACGGGAGGCAGCAGUAGGGAAUCUUCGGCAAUGGGCGCAAGCCUGACGGAGCAACGCCGCGUGAGUGAUGAAGGUCUUCGGAUCGUAAAGCUCUGUUAUUAGGAAAGAACAAAUGCAUAAUUAACUGCGCGCGUCUUGACGGUACCUAAUCAGAAAGCCACGGCUAACUACGUG